rnacentral:lncRNA from 1 species
CAUACAUGUCUAUAUAUUUGUUCUAUAUAAACUCAUCAUCGAUACCAGGACUACAUUUUGUAUAUACGCCAGACGCUAUCAUUACUGGUCAAGGAUCAUUAAGGAAACUUUAAUUGAUUUGACAUGUUCAAUAUAUAUAAGUUGUUCAAUUGGUUAUGACAGCAAAGUUACUGAUCAUUAUGGAGAAUGACAACAGAUCAACUGUAUCAAUCUUUUUACUGGACCCA